NNNNUCUGAUUUCAUCUGAUCUCAGAAGCUAAGCAGGGUCGGGCCUCAGUAGUACUUGGAUGGGAGACCGCCUGGGAAUACCCAGU
rnacentral:rRNA from 1 species